CCUACGGGUGUCAGCAGUGGGGACUAUUGGGCACUGGGCGCACGCCUGACCCAGCACCGCCGCGUGAAGGAAGAAGGCUUUCGGGUUGUAAACUUCUUUUAGGAGGGAAGAGCAGAAGACGGUACAUCUUGAAUAAGACACGGCUAACUACGUGCCAGCAGCCGCGGUAAUACGUAGGUGGCAAGCGUUGUCCGGAGUUACUGGGUGUAAAGGGCGUGCAGCCGGGAAGACAAGUCAGAUGUGAAAUCCCGCGGCGCAACCGCGGACCUGCAUUUGAAACUGUUUUUCUUGAGUACCGGAGAGGUCAUCGGAAUUCCUUGUGUAGCGGGGAAAUGCGUAGAUAUAAGGAAGAACACCAGUGGCGAAGGCGGAUGACUGGACGGCAACUGACGGUGAGGCGCGAAAGCGAGGGGAGCAAACAGGAUUAGAUACCCGGGUAGUC
rnacentral:rRNA from 1 species